rnacentral:sRNA from 1 species
AUUCUGCCCAUGCGGGGAAGGACGAGACGCUUCGACCAAGGUUCUACUCGAGCGACAGCUAGAGAGCGUUGCCGCCGGCAACGACCCGAAGGGCGAAGCGCGCAGCGCUGAGUAAUCCUUCCCCCACCACCA